rnacentral:lncRNA from 1 species
UUGUGAAACACUGAAAUCCUUGGGCAGGACACUGUAGGUGUAAAAGAUAAGUCAGACAUAAAACCUUUCAGAGCACUGGAGCAGUAGAAACCAGUGAGGGGCAGCAGGUUUUCACAUGGAAAAUAUUACUGCCUUUCAUGUUCAAGGAAAUACGGAGCUUCAAAGGUAGCUGGAGUGUGAGUUAUUGUGGCCAUGCUGUCACGUCUUUGGAAUGUUCCAUAUUCCCACAACUGGGAAGAAGCUGGUGCUGCCAGUUCGUCUCUUUCUUCCAUUGCAUUGAAAUGACAACAUGCAAAUAUUUGCAAAUGAAUGCUACAAAACACUCCUGAACAACCAAUUGAUAACUGAUUUUCUCAUGAAGCAUGAGAUGUUCUAACAUCCUAAC